UAAAUUUAAAAAAGUAUUUAUACAGAAAAGAUUAGCAUGGCCCCUGCGCAAGAAUGACAUACAAAUUCAUGAAGAUUCCGUAUUAAAA
rnacentral:snRNA from 1 species